AUUGUCCAGGAGUUAAGCCAUAUGUUGUAAGUGGAAACAAAUGGUGGAAGCUAAGAUUGUGAUCACUCUCAUGUGGGGAUCAUUUUCCACAUCCUCUCUCUCUCUCUCUCUGACAUUAUCUCUCUCCUUUUCUCUAACCAACACCGUAUAAACAUUAAUUUAAACUCUCUCCCCCUUUCUAAAAGAUCAAACAUGGUGUUUUAUAUGAACAACACCAUGAACACCAUGAAGGUGUUCAUGAGCAAUUUCCCAAAUUUCUCAAAUUCACUCCAAAACCAAAAUUGAUUAACGCACACUCUACAUAGUUUCUCUCCCUCGUUAUGAAUCCAACAACCAAAAUCCCAAAUAAUCAAACCUAAGCCCGGAUCAGGCUCACCCCCACUUGAACCGUAAACCCCAAAUUCAACAUUAUUUAGCCAAAUUACAACAACUUACAACCAUUAAAUGUGUAACAGUGGUAAAACGACAAGUAACAGAAAGGAUAGCAAAGCAAAGGGAAAAGGAAGAAAAAGGCCCCGUCAGAGUCUGAAACUCUGGCGAGAACUCCGGAACAUGCAUGAAGUCUUUGAAGAUUAAAUUCUUUCUGGAGGUGAAGUUCAGCUCAUCAUCUCCAAUUCUAGCAACAUUAGUGGUGUGAGUGUCUUCUAACAAAACUCUCUUAUCUUCAACAUUUGUGUAUGUUUUAAACAUAGCACGAUCAUAGCAGACAUGACGAGAGGCGCCAAUGUCUAUCCGCCAACCAUGUUGAUUUUAUUGAUCAUAGCAAUGAAUUUCUCGUCAGUCAUGUUAACUGGUGCACUAGAGUCAACAACAUGUUUAUGCAUGCUCUUACAUCUCUUAGCCAUAUAGUGAAAACAAGAGUGUCAUUUCUUUGAGGUGGUGGAUUCUACAUAGAAAUUAUAGUAAUUGGAGCAAUCGGGACCUAGGAGGUUCUUAGUUCGGAUCACAACAUUGUGGUUCUGAUUCUUAAGUGGGUUUUCAGAUAGCUUCAGAAUUGUACCAAAUUUCUUUUUGUUGUUAGAAACAACCAAGAUUUCAUCUUUCUGAUCUUAUCUCUGAGAUUCUUAUUCAACUCAGAGGUGAGUUAUUAGACUUUCAAUUGAAACUUUUAAUUUAUGGCGAAGCAAAUUUUUAAAAUCUUUCCAACCAUGGGGCAGUUUGUCAAUGUAACAAUAAUCUAAAAUUAUUCAUCUAGGGACAUACCUUCAGUAA